UCAAGAUUGUGGAGGCGCACUACUCGAUGACGGGCGUGGCGGUCCUCCGCAUCAUGUUUUUGCUGCAAGGCUGCAGGGAGUCCAUGCUCGUUGUUGUUCGCCAGGUGACGCCGCAGCCGCAGGUCGAGCUUGACCACCACGGUGGCGAACUGCAAAAGGCAUUUGGAUCCUUCCACUGCAGUUAUUGGGUUCUUUGUACGCUUUGAAGAUGAUAGUGUCGAUUCAGCAAAAGUGGUCAAACAGUGGAAUGUCAAAAUCAUAUCUAUAAGCAAGAAUAAAAGGCAUCAAGACAGACCGGCUGCUCUGGAGGUGUGGGAUCGGCUGGAUGAAUUUGUGCGGGUCGUACGUGUCUCUCUGGCUUAAUGACGCGGUGCUGCUGCUGCUACAAGGCGCUACCAAAAUUUUAAAUUAAGAAUUUGUUGGUGGUGAUUCAUUUUAAUUUUAUUGGCACGUUGCAUCUUUCAACAAGCUAAUGUUUGGUAUGACAAAACUACAGGGAACGGCACAUCCUCAUAUUACAAAGAUAGAAUCUAUAAGGUUUUACUCUUUUGUCCAUUCUGAUUAUGUUUUCUUGAAGCAAGACUUAAUUACUCCAUGGUCCAUACAGUGAUAGUUCAUACACAGCCUAACAGUAUUUCCUUGACAUUUUGUUUUCUUUCAUUUUCAACUCCCAGUUGUUUAUACAGAAUUAUAGAUAUAAUAGUAGAAGUCGUCAGUGACAACUUCCUGCUGCACCUGCUUCUUACCACGGGCACAUGCAUGCAAAGGUUCUGUCAAAAGCCAUCUACGCAUGUGUUUUUCCACUCCAUAUCACCGAAAAGCAACGGUAUCUUUCUGGUGCCACCACCAACAGGUAUUGUUAGUUCUUUUGCCUCCAAUCUUAGUAGUAGUCGUCUCUCUGCAUCUCAGUCAAAUUGUACACUUUCAACUUUCUCAAGCAUUCGGCCAAAGUGGAGAUCAAUAUAACAACUAGCAUAAUUGCUUGCUUUCAUACAGCAAGAUUUGCUUCAGAUCACGGAACCUUGGGUUGAUGGAGUGCUUGUCUUUAGUUUUUGUUUUGACUUUGUGAAACUUGCUACCUAUGAUGAAACUGUGUAAUAUUGAUGAAACUA